CUACGGAACUCCUACGGGAGGCAGCAGUGGGGAAUAUUGGACAAUGGGCGCAAGCCUGAUCCAGCCAUGCCGCGUGAGUGAUGAAGGCCUUAGGGUUGUAAAGCUCUUUUAUCCGGGACGAUAAUGACGGUACCGGAGGAAUAAGCCCCGGCUAACUUCGUGCCAGCAGCCGCGGUAAUACGAAGGGGGCUAGCGUUGCUCGGAAUCACUGGGCGUAAAGGGCGCGUAGGCGGCGUUUUAAGUCGGGGGUGAAAGCCUGUGGCUCAACCACAGAAUGGCCUUCGAUACUGGGACGCUUGAGUAUGGUAGAGGUUGGUGGAACUGCGAGUGUAGAGGUGAAAUUCGUAGAUAUUCGCAAGAACACCGGUGGCGAAGGCGGCCAACUGGACCAUUACUGACGCUGAGGCGCGAAAGCGUGGGGAGCAAACAGGAUUAGAUACCCCUGUAGUCCUCUUCGA
rnacentral:rRNA from 1 species